UACGUAGGGGGCAAGCGUUGUCCGGAAUCAUUGGGCGUAAAGAGCGUGUAGGCGGCCCGGUAAGUCUGUUGUGAAAGUCCAGGGCUCAACCCUGGAAUGCCGAUGGAUACUGCCGGGCUAGAGUUCGGAAGAGGCGAGUGGAAUUCCCGGUGUAGCAGUGAAAUGCGUAGAGAUCGGGAGGAACACCCGUGGCGAAGGCGGCUCUCUGGGACGGUACUGACGCUGAGACGCGAAAGCGUGGGGAGCGAACAGG
rnacentral:rRNA from 1 species